GCUCAGACUAUGCUGCUUACCUCCGGUGUCUCCGCCGGCCAAUUCUUGAGGAACAAGAACCCUUUGGCUCAGCCCAAAGUUCACCAACUCUUCCUCUCUGGAACCUCCCCGGUUGCUCUACCAUCGAGGAGACAAUCAUUUGUUCCUCUUGCUCUCUUCAAACCUAAAACCAAAGCUGCUCCCAAGAAGGUACUCACAAAACCCUUUACUUGUCUCACAAGGAACAUAUGUUGUGUCUUGAUGGUAAUGUUAAGGUUUUUUUUAUAUAUGUGUGUUUAGGUUGAGAAGGUGAAGCCAAAGGUUGAGGAUGGUAUCUUUGGAACUUCAGGUGGGAUUGGUUUCACUAAGGCGAAUGAGCUUUUCGUUGGUCGUGUUGCUAUGAUCGGUUUCGCAGUAAGUCUCCUUCUCAUUCACUUAGAUGUAUCAAGAAAGAAGCAUUUUGAUAUGAAUGUUGAGUUUAUAUGAAUAUAUUUAUAGGCAUCUUUGCUUGGUGAGGGUAUCACCGGGAAAGGGAUCUUAGCUCAGCUGAAUCUUGAGACAGGGAUACCGAUUUACGAAGCAGAGCCAUUGCUUCUCUUCUUUAUCUUGUUCACUUUGUUGGGAGCCAUUGGAGCUCUUGGAGACAGAGGAAAAUUCGUCGACGAUCCUCC
rnacentral:lncRNA from 1 species